GUGCUUGCUUCGGCAGCACAUAUACUAAAACUGGAACGAUACAGAGAAGAUUAGCAUGGCCCCUGCGUAAUGAUGACACGCAAAUUCGUGAAGCGUUUUU
rnacentral:snRNA from 1 species